rnacentral:rRNA from 1 species
UACGUAGGGGGCAAGCGUUAUCCGGAUUUACUGGGUGUAAAGGGAGCGUAGACGGCUUUGCAAGCCAGAUGUGAAAGCCCGGGGCUCAACCCCGGGACUGCAUUUGGAACUGUGUGGCUAGAGUGUCGGAGAGGCAGGCGGAAUUCCUAGUGUAGCGGUGAAAUGCGUAGAUAUUAGGAGGAACACCAGUGGCGAAGGCGGCCUGCUGGACAAUGACUGACGUUGAGGCUCGAAAGCGUGGGGAGCAAACAGG